AAGUCGUAACAAGGUUUCCGUAGGUGAACCUGCGGAAGGAUCAUUACCGUAUCUUCGGCAAAGGGCUGACGCUGUGCCUCGGCACGUGCUCGCCCCGAGCCUUUACUCUUCAACCCCUAUGUGCACCGUGAGGGUGGCCGUUCGUGCCGCCCGACCCCCCAACACCAACUCUUACGUUUGGGUGAAUGUAACGAAAAAAGUAACACAAUACAACUUUCAACGACGGAUCUCUUGGCUCUC
rnacentral:misc_RNA from 1 species